GUUUAAUUCGAAGCAACGCGAAGAACCUUACCAGGUCUUGACAUCCCGCUGACCGCUCUGGAGACAGAGCUUCCCUUCGGGGCAGCGGUGACAGGUGGUGCAUGGUUGUCGUCAGCUCGUGUCGUGAGAUGUUGGGUUAAGUCCCGCAACGAGCGCAACCCUUAUCUUUAGUUGCCAGCAUUCAGUUGGGCACUCUAGAGAGACUGCCGUCGACAAGACGGAGGAAGGCGGGGAUGACGUCAAAUCAUCAUGCCCCUUAUGACCUGGGCUACACACGUGCUACAAUGGUUGGUACAACGGGAUGCUACCUCGCGAGAGGACGCCAAUCUCUUAAAACCAAUCUCAGUUCGGAUUGUAGGCUGCAACUCGCCUACAUGAAGUCGGAAUCGCUAGUAAUCGCGGAUCAGCAUGCCGCGGUGAAUACGUUCCCGGGCCUUGUACACACCGCCCGUCACACCACGGGAGUUUGCAACACCCGAAGUCGGUGAGGUAACCGCAAGGAGCCAGCCGCCAAGUG
rnacentral:rRNA from 2 species